rnacentral:rRNA from 1 species
CCUACGGGAGGCAGCAGUGAGGAAUAUUGGUCAAUGGACGAGAGUCUGAACCAGCCAAGUAGCGUGAAGGAUGACUGCCCUAUGGGUUGUAAACUUCUUUUAUAUGGGAAUAAAACGUUCCACGUGUGGGAUUUUGUAUGUACCAUAUGAAUAAGGAUCGGCUAACUCCGUGCCAGCAGCCGCGGUAAUACGGAGGAUCCGAGCGUUAUCCGGAUUUAUUGGGUUUAAAGGGAGAGUAGGUGGAUUGUUAAGUCAGUUGUGAAAGUUUGCGGCUCAACCGUAAAAUUGCAGUUGAAACUGGCAGUCUUGAGUACAGUAGAGGUGGGCGGAAUUCGUGGUGUAGCGGUGAAAUGCUUAGAUAUCACGAAGAACUCCGAUUGCGAAGGCAGUUCACUGGACUGCAACUGACACUGAGGCUCGAAAGUGUGGGUAUCAAACAGGAUUAGAUACCCUUGUAGUC